rnacentral:rRNA from 1 species
GAUGAACGCUGGCGGCGUGCCUAAUACAUGCAAGUCGAGCGAACGGACGAGAAGCUUGCUUUUCUGAUGUUAGCGGCGGACGGGUGAGUAACACGUGGAUAACCUACCUAUAAGACUGGGAUAACUUCGGGAAACCGGAGCUAAUACCGGAUAAUAUUUUGAACCGCAUGGUUCAAAAGUGAAAGACGGUCUUGCUGUCACUUAUAGAUGGAUCCGCGCUGCAUUAGCUAGUUGGUAAGGUAACGGCUUACCAAGGCAACGAUGCAUAGCCGACCUGAGAGGGUGAUCGGCCACACUGGAACUGAGACACGGUCCAGACUCCUACGGGAGGCAGCAGUAGGGAAUCUUCCGCAAUGGGCGAAAGCCUGACGGAGCAACGCCGCGUGGGUGAUGAAGGUCUUCGGAUCGUAAAGCUCUGUUAGUAGGGAAGAACAUAUGUGUAAGUAACUGCGCACAUCUUGACGGUACCUAAUCAGAAAGCCACGGCUAACUACGUG